rnacentral:rRNA from 1 species
AACGAACGCUGGCGGCAGGCUUAACACAUGCAAGUCGAGCGCCCCGCAAGGGGAGCGGCAGACGGGUGAGUAACGCGUGGGAAACUACCCAUCUCUACGGAAUAACGCAUGGAAACGUGUGCUAAUACCGUAUACGUCCUUCGGGAGAAAGAUUUAUCGGAGAUGGAUGAGCCCGCGUUGGAUUAGCUAGUUGGUGGGGUAAAGGCCUACCAAGGCGACGAUCCAUAGCUGGUCUGAGAGGACGAUCACCCACACUGGGACUGAGACACGGCCCAGACUCCUACGGGAGGCAGCAGUGGGGAAUAUUGGACAAUGGGCGCAAGCCUGAUCCAGCCAUGCCGCGAGUGAUGAAGGCCCUAGGGUUGUAAAGCUCUUUCACCGGUGAAGAUAAUGACGGUAACCGGAGAAGAAGCCCCGGCUAACUUCGUGCCAGCCGCCGCAGUAACAC